ACUUGCUCUCACUGCGGCUUUUUUAAGGGUGAAAAUGUUUACACUAGAUGUGCAAAGAAUAAAAAAGAAAAAAAUUAAAGAAAAAGGAUAUUGGUAUUGUUGUAAUCUCGUUUCUGCGAACCCCACUCUCUAUAACUUGGGGUUGAUUGAAGCUAUUGGGUUUUUGAUAAUCUUCUGGUAAAAAAAUAAUGCUAAAAACCAGACAGAUCUUGGGCUGUUCGUCAGGCUUCGUUUCUCAUCGCUGGAAGCCAUAUUCUAAUACUUGUACUAGUAGUUCUACUACAAGUGGUAGCCUCUCCUUCCUCUCCACCUCCACCUGCUUUAACCCUUUAUUAUCUUAUUCGUCUUCUUCCUCAACAUUAUUGCCCACAGCCACCGCCACUUGGUCGUCCUCCACUCGCCGCCAUCGUUUCGGAGCUCUCAGCAUGUCGUCGGCUCCUUCUGGGUCGAACCCAGGUGUCCCUUCUUCUUCAGCUGCGGUUCAGUCUGCUGGCAAUGCUCGUAAGAUUAAUUUCUGCCAGUUGUGUGGUGGUCCAACAAAGCAUGAGAUACCCAACGGUGAGGAGAAGAUAAGAGCUAUUUGCACAGUUUGUGAGAGGAUUGCCUAUGAGAACCCGAAAAUGGUUGUGGGUUGUCUGAUUGAGCAUGAUAACAGGAUCCUACUUUGCAAAAGGAAGAUUCAACCAUCAUAUGGCCUUUGGACUCUCCCUGCAGGUUACAUGGAAAUUGGGGAAUCAGCUGCAGAAGGAGCCAUCAGGGAAACCUGGGAAGAAGCAUGUGCCGAUGUGGAGGUGUUGUCGCCUUUUGCUCAGUUGGACAUCCCACUCAUUGGCCAGACUUAUGUAAUUUUCUUAGCAAGGCUCAAGACACCCCAUUUUUCACCAGGUCCAGAAUCGUCAGAAUGCCGGCUUUUUGCACUUGAUGAGAUACCUUUUGAUUCUCUGUCUUUUUCGUCAAUGGUUGUUACCUUAAAAUUGUAUGUUGAAGAUGUAAGGGCCGGAAAGAUCAAGUUCCACUAUGGUACCAUUAAUAAAAGGCCCGGCACAAGUCCUUCUGACAGUCAUGCCUAUACUUUAGAUUAUCAUCUACAGUCAUGACAAGAAGUUGCAGAACCCAGUUGGUGUCUGAAAAUUGGAGCUGAAACUUUUAAGCACAUCGGUGAAGUAGGGAGUGUAUCUUCCUAGAAAAAUGGAGCCGAUAUAUCUUUGCCAACUCCAGAACUCACUGUUCCGAUGGAGAUUGGAUGUUGGCUCUACUACUUGGAUUCUGCAUAAUGUCAAAUUAUUCAGCCGUACGGUUGGUAGAUGUGCAUGGUUCUGGAGUUCUGUCUCAAAAUGCCCACUUCUCCUGUAGAGAACCAAACUGUGAUAAUCAAGGUUCCGCGUUGAAGAAUUUUUCGGUGUGACAGCAUGUGCAGUGUUCACAAGUACGUGUUUCAAAUAAGUGUUAUACUAUGUGUACUGUAAAUUGCAACACUUGGUGGUGUUACAGUCGCAUUGAAGAAUUCUCUCAUUUCUUAACUGGAAAUUGAUGUCAGCCAACUCAAAGUACAUUGUACAAGAAACCUCAGAUUUAGGGGUUUUUGGUCUGAUUUGGAUGGUCGAUAAUGGUUUUCAAGGCGAUGAAUCAUCUUACCUUUUCUUUU